CACGGACCGCACGAACGUUAUUCGGUAUCACUGGGCUUAAAGGGUGCGUAGGCGGCUUUGCAAGUUGGGUGUGAAAGCCCUCGGCUCAACCGAGGAAUUGCGCUCAAUACUGCCGAGCUAGAGAGAGACAGAGGUAAGCGGAACUAAUGGUGGAGCGGUGAAAUGCGUUGGUAUCAUUAGGAACACCGGUGGCGAAGGCGGCUUACUGGGUCUUUUCUGACGCUGAGGCGCGAAAGCUAGGGGAGCAAACGGG
rnacentral:rRNA from 1 species